rnacentral:lncRNA from 9 species
CCUGCUACAGGGUUUGAAAUAUUUUGAGAAUUACCAAAAUGUGACACAGGGACAGGAAGUGAGAAAAUGCUGUUGGAGGAAUAUACUUGCUCAACAACCAAAUAGCUGACAGGUGCUUGAAGAAUUCAUGAAGAUCACGGUCUUCCUGCUCUUGAGGACUUUUAGAAUCUACUUUGGGCCAGAAGUCUCUUUAGUCCCAGUUUCAUCUCAGGAGACUUCUUGGAGGGGGAAGUGUAUAAGCAGAUGAGAUUAUAAAGGAGUGAUCUCGGAAAACUGAAGUAAUAUGAGAAUAGUAUAUCCUAAGUAGAGAAGGAGAAAGUCAUUCAAGAACUGGUAAGUUUCUAUCACCACCAAAUAAUAUAUACCGAUUUACUAUUCCAUCUAAAAUAGUAGAAAAUUAAAAGAGCAAAAAAGAG